GUCGGGAUAGCUCAGCUGGUAGAGC
rnacentral:tRNA from 147 species